AAUAUUGGACAAUGGGGGCAACCCUGAUCCAGCCAUGCCGCGUGAGUGAUGAAGGCCCUAGGGUUGUAAAGCUCUUUCGGCGGGGACGAUAAUGACGGUACCCGCAGAGGAAGCCCCGGCUAACUUCGUGCCAGCAGCCGCGGUAAUACGAAGGGGGCUAGCGUUGCUCGGAAUCACUGGGCGUAAAGCGCACGUAGGCGGAUCUUUAAGUCAGAGGUGAAAUCCCAAGGCUCAACCUUGGAACUGCCUUUGAUACUGGGGAUCUCGAGUCCGGAAGAGGUUGGUGGAACUCCGAGUGUAGAGGUGAAAUUCGUAGAUAUUCGGAAGAACACCAGUGGCGAAGGCGGCCAACUGGUCCGGUACUGACGCUGAGGUGCGAAAGCGUGGGGAGCAAACAGG
rnacentral:rRNA from 1 species